UGGGGCUACACACGUCAUACAAUGGGCGUGGUAACGAAAGGGUUGCAACCCGCGAGGGGAGCCAAUACCCACUAAAGACCAGUCGUAGUCCGGAUCGCAGUCUGCAACUCGACUGCGUGAAGUCGGAAUCGCUAGUAAUCGUGGAUCAGCAUGUCACGGUGAAUACGUUCCCGGGUCUU
rnacentral:rRNA from 1 species